CAGUGAUUGCGCAGGCUCAGGUUCUGCCGAAGGUGCCGUCAGGGUGACCGAUGUGUCCCCGGGCGUCCGCCGGAGGCAGAGCUGUACUCCUCGCGAGCACGGACCAGCAGCGGUUGGAGUGGAGCCACAAGGCUGACAGAAAGGUAGGUCGGGUCGGGUUCGCUCGCUCGACAACUUACAGACUGGCUGUCCGGCACUCCACUCGGACCGAGGAAAGGGGGCAGCUCUUGCCCGGUAUGGUGCACGCCGUAUGGCGGGGCCUCCCGUCGAGGGCGAGCCGUGCGGGGUUGACUGCAUGCAGUGCUCACCGUCACGGCGGACCCACGGUCGGAGAGUGUCACUUGUGCACCA
rnacentral:sRNA from 1 species